rnacentral:tRNA from 1 species
GGGAAGGUGGCUCAGAGGUAGAGUGCUUGCCUUGCAUGCAUGAAGCCUGGGGUUCAAUUCUAUCAUACCA